GUGGCUCUGAAGGAGAUGAAGAACACCAGGUGGCUAUGGAGAACUGCAGGAAGACCAUGCUUCUGACAGUACUGUUGAUUCCGGAGGCAAGGAGUGAAGUAAGAAGGACACUUCAGCCAUCCAGGUAAAGAGAACAGCAGGUCCUGGACUAAAGCAGAAAAGACGGAGUGAGUAGGAAAGAUGGUCCAAUCAAACAUCAACGAAGCUUCAAAAACAU
rnacentral:lncRNA from 1 species